rnacentral:rRNA from 1 species
GACCUCAAAUCAGGUAAGGACACCCGCUGAACUUAAGCAUAUCAAUAAGCGGAGGAAAAGAAAAUAACAAUGAUUCCCCUAGUAACUGCGAGUGAAGAGGGACAAGCUCAAAUUUUAAAUCCAUCGGGUUUUACCUGAUCGAGUUGUAAUUUGAAGAAGCGUUUUCUGCGUAUUUGAUCAGCCUAAGUCCUAUUGAAUGAGGCAUCACGGAGGGUGAUAAUCCCGUCCGGUUGAUCAGAUUCGCUUUACGAUACGUUAUCAAAGAGUCAAGUUGUUUGGGAUUGCAGCUUAAAAUGGGAGGUAAAUUUCUCCUAAGGCUAAAUAACGGCGAGAGACCGAUAGCGAACAAGUACCGUGAGGGAAAGAUGAAAAGAACUUUGAAAAGAGAGUUAAACAGUACGUGAAAUUGUUGAAAGGGAAACGAUUGAAGCCAGUCGUACCUUCGGGUAAUCAGCCUUUUGGGUGUGAUUUUGUGGAGCGUGAAGAGUUAAACGCCUUCAUGCUUGCAUAUUCGUGCACUUUGGGUGUACUUGCCCGUAUGGUUGGUUAACAUCAAUUUUGGUGGUCAUAAAAUGACUGGAGGAAUGUAGCUUCGAUCUCGUAUUGAAGUAUUAUAGCCUUCGGUAGAUGUGAUGAUCGAGAUUGAGGAUUGCAACGGAUACCCUUCGGGGCUACCUGUCUGAUCUCUGAUCGUUGCUCUGGUACCGAAAGCUUGCUUACGGUUAUCAAAGUCGAUGGUCAAUAGGUUAGAACGGGUUAAAUUCGUUAAGGAUGUUGACGUAAUGGCUUUAAACGACCCGUCUUGAAACACGGACCA